rnacentral:rRNA from 1 species
GAUGAACGCUGGCGGCGUGCCUAAUACAUGCAAGUCGAGCGAACAGAUAAGGAGCUUGCUCCUUUGACGUUAGCGGCGGACGGGUGAGUAACACGUGGGUAACCUACCUAUAAGACUGGGAUAACUUCGGGAAACCGGAGCUAAUACCGGAUAACAUUUGGAACCGCAUGGUUCUAAAGUGAAAGAUGGUUUUGCUAUCACUUAUAGAUGGACCCGCGCCGUAUUAGCUAGUUGGUAAGGUAACGGCUUACCAAGGCGACGAUACGUAGCCGACCUGAGAGGGUGAUCGGCCACACUGGAGCUGAGACACGGUCCAGACUCCUACGGGAGGCAGCAGUAGGGAAUCUUCCGCAAUGGGCGAAAGCCUGACGGAGCAACGCCGCGUGAGUGAUGAAGGGUUUCGGCUCGUAAAACUCUGUUAUUAGGGAAGAACAAACGUGUAAGUAACUGUGCACGUCUUGACGGUACCUAAUCAGAAAGCCACGGCUAACUACGUGCCAGCAGCCGCGGUAAUACGUAGGUGACAAGCGUUAUCCGGAAUUAUUGGGCGUAAAGCGCGCGUACGCGGUUUCUUAAGUCUGAUGUGAAAGCCCACGGCUCACCGUGGAGGGUCAUUGGAAACUGGGAAACUUGAGUGCAGAAGAGGAAAGUGGAAUUCCAUGUGUAGCGGUGAAAUGCGCAGAGAUAUGGAGGAACACCAGUGGCGAAGGCGACUUUCUGGUCUGUAACUGACGCUGAUGUGCGAAAGCGUGGGGAUCAAACAGGAUUAGAUACCCUGGUAGUCCACGCCGUAAACGAUGAGUGCUAAGUGUUAGGGGGUUUCCGCCCCUUAGUGCUGCAGCUAACGCAUUAAGCACUCCGCCUGGGGAGUACGACCGCAAGGUUGAAACUCAAAGGAAUUGACGGGGACCCGCACAAGCGGUGGAGCAUGUGGUUUAAUUCGAAGCAACGCGAAGAACCUUACCAAAUCUUGACAUCCUUUGAAAACUCUAGAGAUAGAGCCUUCCCCUUCGGGGGACAAAGUGACAGGUGGUGCAUGGUUGUCGUCAGCUCGUGUCGUGAGAUGUUGGGUUAAGUCCCGCAACGAGCGCAACCCUUAAGCUUAGUUGCCAUCAUUAAGUUGGGCACUCUAGGUUGACUGCCGGUGACAAACCGGAGGAAGGUGGGGAUGACGUCAAAUCAUCAUGCCCCUUAUGAUUUGGGCUACACACGUGCUACAAUGGACAAUACAAAGGGCAGCUAAACCGCGAGGUCAUGCAAAUCCCAUAAAGUUGUUCUCAGUUCGGAUUGUAGUCUGCAACUCGACUACAUGAAGCUGGAAUCGCUAGUAAUCGUAGAUCAGCAUGCUACGGUGAAUACGUUCCCGGGUCU